GGAUCAUUAACGAGUUAGGGUCUCUCAGGCCCGACCUCCCAACCCUUUGUUUACUAGACCUCUGUUGCUUCGGCGGACCCGUCUCAAGCGGACCGCCGGAGGACCGCCCACCGUGGCGUGCGUCCUCUGGCCAGUGUCCGCCGAUAGCCUCUUCAAACUCUGGAACAAUCAUGAUUUUAUUGUCUAAGUGAUUUUAUUCAAUUAAAAGCAAAAACUUUCAACAACGGAUCUCUUGGUUCUGGCAUCGAUGAAGAACGCAGCGAAAUGCGAUAAGUAAUGCGAAUUGCAGAAUUCCAGUGAGUCAUCGAAUCUUUGAACGCACAUUGCGCCCUUUGGUAUUCCGAAGGGCAUGCCUGUUCGAGCGUCAUUAUCACCCCCUCAAGCCCCGUGCUUGGUGUUGGACGGUUUGGUAGGGCGCCUACCCCUCCUAAAGACAAUGACGGCGGCCUCGUGGAACCCCCGGUACACUGAGCUUCUUAACUGAGCACGUAUCGGAUCAAGGGCGCCCGGGGCACGGUCUUCUCCCCCUUCAGGGAAAUUUUCUCAAGGUUGACCUCGGAUCAGGUAGGAAUACGCGCUGAACUUAAGCAUA
rnacentral:misc_RNA from 1 species